UAAAAGCAGACAGGCUCCCCAUAAAAGGCCCCACCCAGCUCACUCAAAUGCCCCUCCCCUCAACAACAGCCAACAGCCCAGAACAGCAGGAAAACAGAACAGCUAAAAGAUCAUCUGGGAAUCCUCCCUUCCUCGUGGAGCUUUUUGAAGGGGAGUUGAAUAUUCAAUGUGAUGCUAUGAAAAAAAGAGAUGACGUUGACUCCUGAGUGUUGAACUUUUGCCCCCUCUAUAGCCUCCCUGGUAAUUAUAUGACCCUUAUGGUAAUCUACGAUCGUUGGAACGUCUUGGAUAACAAUAAGAGGCACAUGUACAGUUCCUCUCUAGUUUUUAUCCUAGGUUUAUGACAUCUAGGGAGUGUUUCCUAGAUGCUGUGCUUUGACAUAUGCAUUGAUGGGUCUUGGAUUUUUAGACUGGGUAUCUCUAAAAUGCUUUGUGACUACUGCUGAUGCAAAAAAGGGCUUUUAAGAAAUACAUAUGGUUGAUUGACAGAUUUGUAUUAUUAUAAAAAAUAAUAUAACAAUAUCAUCAUAAUCUUUAUGUUACAGGUGAGGCAUACCCAGAAAUGUCAACAUCUUGGCAAGUGCUCAAAUUUUUACAGCAGCGCCAGACAAUCAUGUACAGUAGCUCCAACUUACAAGAAUGGGUUUACAAGGCAGUGAUGAAAAAAGUUUAUAUGUGUGCUAAUUAAAAUAUACAAUGAUAUAUAUUUGAUACAAUUACCCAUUCAAAACUGUUACAAAAUCACUUCUCAUUGUGUUCAUUUCAAGGUUUCACA
rnacentral:lncRNA from 13 species